ACUGUGUACAUAAUCUCACAAGGAGAGCCUCUCAGUAGAGGUCAUGGCAGGAUUACUUGCUGUUGUAAAGUCGCUUCACUUCCACAGAGACACAACUUAGACUGUGGAGCGCUCAAUGAAAAAUGCUGAGUCAAAAUUUUGGAACUCCCUUCCAAACAACUCCGUGGGUGUACCUACUACAUGUGGACCGAAGAGGCUCAAAAAGGCAGCUCACCAGUACCUACUCUGUGGCAACUAGUGAUGGAUAGUAAGAACUACGUCAAUCAAGUAGACAUGAUUUUUUAAACUUGAGACCUACAUGGUCUCAUUAUCCUUGCCCCAUCAUCAAAUCAUCUGGCGAACUGAGCCUUAUUUUAAUUUUGGCUGUUAAUAAUGGCCUGGUUUUUAUGGUCAGUUUGAAGCAAGAGCUUCUGCUAACCUUUGAAGAAAGCUGGCCACAAAGAUUAUAGUGAUUUUUCUGUUACAUUAUUUUUCUCCUGACAGCUCUUUGAAUUGGGGUCAAAUUUAAACUAUCUUGGCACUACCAAAACAUUAUGUAUCCUGGAAAUCCACAUUUAUACAAAAUUGAGUGGAGAAAAUUAAUCAAUUUGUUAGCAUUUUAGAUUGUUUGAAAAGUUCCUUCUUUUUCAAGCUUAUUUGACUGUGUAAUGUAAUUUAAUCUUCUUCCAAAUACCAUGUUAGUUUGACCAUUUGACUGUGUGUGGCUUUAUCCAAAUCGGUGAUGCCCAUACUUAUGGUAUUAAAUGCAAAUAAAAACAAACACUACAUUGUC